rnacentral:rRNA from 1 species
CCAAUAGCGUAUAUUAAAGUUGUUGCAGUUAAAAAGCUCGUAGUUGAAUUUCGGGGUCAGCAAGUUGGUCGUGCCACUGGUAUGUACUGGCUUUGCUGAUUCCUCCUUCUUGUAGAACCGUAAUGCCAUUAAUUUGGUGUUGCGGGAAAACAGGACUGUUACUUUGAAAAAAUUAGAGUGUUUAAAGCAGGCUAACGCUUGAAUACAUUAGCAUGGAAUAAUGAAAUAGGACGACGAUCCUAUUUUGUUGGUUUCUAGGAUUGACGUAAUGAUUAAUAGGGAUAGUUGGGGGCAUUAGUAUUCAAUUGUCAGAGGUGAAAUUCUUGGAUUUAUUGAAGACUGACUACUGCGAAAGCAUUUGCCAAGGAUGUUUUCAUUAAUCAAGAACGAAAGUUAGGGGAUCGAAGACGAUCAGAUACCGUCGUAGUCUUAACCAUAAACUAUGCCGACUAGGGAUCGGAUGAUGUUAAUUUUAUAAUGACUCAUUCGGCGCCUUACG